rnacentral:rRNA from 1 species
AUUGAACGCUGGCGGCAGGCCUAACACAUGCAAGUCGAGCGGAUGACGGGAGCUUGCUCCUUGAUUCAGCGGCGGACGGGUGAGUAAUGCCUAGGAAUCUGCCUGGUAGUGGGGGACAACGUUUCGAAAGGAACGCUAAUACCGCAUACGUCCUACGGGAGAAAGCAGGGGACCUUCGGGCCUUGCGCUAUCAGAUGAGCCUAGGUCGGAUUAGCUUGUUGGUGAGGUAAUGGCUCACCAAGGCGACGAUCCGUAACUGGUCUGAGAGGAUGAUCAGUCACACUGGAACUGAGACACGGUCCAGACUCCUACGGGAGGCAGCAGUGGGGAAUAUUGGACAAUAGGCGAAAGCCUGAUCCAGCCAUGCCGCGUGUGUGAAGAAGGUCUUCGGAUUGUAAAGCACUUUAAGUUGGGAGGAAGGGUUGUAGAUUAAUACUCUGCAAUUUUGACGUUACCGACAGAAUAAGCACCGGCUAACUCUGUGCCAGCAGCCGCUGUAAAAC